rnacentral:lncRNA from 1 species
AAUAAUACUUCAACAUUGUCAGAUUCAAAACAUAUUGUGGGCUUGUGGUCUUUUUAAGCCCAUCUUUCCAUUGACCAAUUUUCACAUAAUAUUACAAGCUAACUAGUCUCUAAACAACAUGCAUAUUACAAAUCACAGUUACAUGCCCCAUGCAAAGUAACCCAAGCUACAUCACCAUCGGAUACAUCUUUUUUACUUUGUUGGUGUGACUCUUAGCUCCCACCUUCAUCAGAACUUGGAUUUUUUGUUGGAUGCCUUUCUCGUGACUUCUUGAAGGCAACUAAAGUUGUUCUGAUCCUCCAUUGUCCAUAUCAACUUCUUGAAAGAUGACUUACGAAUCAGCCUAUUAGAAAUAAAGACAUAAAUAUAACAUUAUGAAUGAGUUACAGAAAACCAUCUACCAUUGCAACAAAGAACGACAUGCAAGUAACUUGGAGCUCUAGGUUGGAACCUUAACAAAAACUACACAUUAGUAAUUGUCUAAUAAAGUAAUAAGUGAUAUGAUCAAAACUAAGCAUGUCGUAUUCAUGAGCAACAAAGGCCAUCUAAAAUAUUUGAUUGGAAUAAACACAUAUCAAUACAUUAGAAAAGAGAACUAUUGGUAAGAGGACACGCAUAAAUAAUAGCUCAACACAAAGUUUGAAAUCCCGAGAGGAACAAAUUAAAAUUUGUAGUAGGUACUCCUUCACAAAUUAAAAUGGUGCAAGAAAACAGAAUAUUCGACAAAGACUCGAAGGAAGAAACCUUCAAGCAACAUAGAACAGUGCAGAAAGCAUGAAAAACUUAGUGUGAUCAAUAAGAAACUUCCAUCUAAAAAUCAAUUACUUACAAUUACGCUAUGGUCACAGGCCUAAAAAGUUCGUUUAGGCUUUGAUCUUUAGUUGUAAACUUGUAAUAUAUCUGCUUACUUGGACAGUAAUCUGCAUUAACAUAUAGUCAGUAUGACUUCAGAUUGCCUAAAGGAGUUCAAUGAAUUAGUUCUCCAUUAGUAAUUUGCCAAAAUCAUGUCGAAUCGCUCAUUAAACUCCCACUACAGUUCAGCAACAGCAAUUCACUUGCAAAUCUCUUCACGUUCCCUCAAACAGAGUUACCACGAGAUCAGAACUACAAAAUAAUAUAACAAUACUGGGGGAGCAUCUGCAUAAUGAAAAUAUUAUACUGCAGCUAAUUAUUUAAUUACUAACCCAUUUCACAUGUACUAUCUAGGUUCUCAUGAUAAUUUCUCUAAAAGAACAUGGACAAUUCAGUUUACAAUUUUCAACUUAGUGACAUGUAUAAACUAGCUUCCAUAUUCUAGCUCAACACUACUGACAGUAUGGCACAAAAAAUGACUAUUUAACCUAGCAAAUAUUACUAUAGAAGCAUCUCACGAUUGACCAAUAAGAACUCACUAACAGGGAGGAACAAAACAAAAGUGAUAUCUGAACCAAUCCCCGCAUGUAAGCGGUUCAUCUAAACUGAGAGGGGAUAGCUGAGCGUCGUACACAUGUAACAUGUUAACCCAGCCACCCAGGUUGCCGGUCGAGCUUAACGGACCUCCCGCAGAACUCCGGCGUGCCCCAGUGGUCUGUGCUCAAUGUAAAUCUGACGGACAAAACCAAAGAAGAAGAAAAACAAAGGGUCAACGAGAUGUAUCUGAUAAGUGCGGAAGGUGGGACAACUACGUGAUGACUCAUUAGUUAAUCAUACCACAGUGGCGGUAGUCCCUACGAAGGUGAUGCGUAGGCGAACCCGGCGGUCAAGGAAGCCAUAGCCAGUACCCACAUCACCAUGACUCCUCUGUCCUCUCCCUCAUUUGCUCCGAUGGAUCUGAGAAGUGUAUGGAGUGGCACCAUAGAGUAAGAGUUCAGUGCCUGCAAUCACACGAGAGGGAUCGGAGGAUGCACACACGCAGGCACUCAACACUAAUAACACACGUCACGCACACAGGCUGGGCCGUGGCCGUGCAACCAGGC